UGGCCCUAUCACCCUAAAACAUUGGUUCUCGUCUUAUCACCGAAGUUAAGCAACAUUGAGUGUGGUCAGUACCUAGAUGAGUGACCACUUGGGAAUAACAGGGGCUA